rnacentral:lncRNA from 1 species
CUGCCUUGCCAGCCUCUGUUCUGCACACUUGAGGGUAAAUAUUUAGGACAGAAUUGUGGUGUAGAGCAUGCACAACUUGAUGGUGUUGCUAUUGUCACUAGUUAUCAUUAAAUUGUCCUGACAUGACAUUAAAACGUUAUUUUAAGUGUGUUUUGACUGUGUGUGUGUGCGCGCGUGUGUGUGCACACCUUGUGCCUGAGAGGCCAGAAGAGGGCAUUGGAUCCCCUGGAGCUGGAGUUCCAGAAGGUGCUGGGAACCUAACAUAGGUUCUCUACAAGGGUCGCAAGUACAUGUAACUGCUCAGCCAUCUCUCUAGCAUCCCCCUCCCUUUUUGAGACAUUGUCUCACUAUGUCAUCUUGGCUGGCCCGGAACUUUCUACACUAGCUUGGUCUCAAACUCAUAGAGAUCCUCCUGUCUCUGUCUCCCAAGUGCAGGACAGACAGCUCAGAAAGUGAAGUGCUAGCCGUACAAGAACAGGGACCUGAGUCUCAUCCCCAGAACCCAGGUUAAGAAAAGCUAGGUGUGGUGGUCUGUGCUUGUAAUCCCAGGCCUGAGGGGGCAGAGACAGGCAGAUCCCUGGGGCCCAUUGGACAGCUAGUUUAGCCUAAAUGGUGGGGAGUUCUAGACCAAAGAGCGAUCCUGUCUUUCAAGACUGCUUUGCCCACCUGGGAUUUUUGUGGACUUUGGGAGAUCUAAUUCUUCUGCUUGAGCACCAAGAGCUUCAACUGCUGAGCCAUGUCCCCAGCCCCGAGUGCAUUUCCGAAUUGCAAUGGAUUUGUCACGGUGCUCAAGGUAGGUGCUGCUUUAACAGGAAGACAGGAAACAAACGGUUGUACAUCUGAAAUGUUAGCAUGGGGGGUGGUGAGGAAAGAGGAUAGGAAUUUGAGGCCAAACUGAGCUACACAGCAAGACCAUCUAAAUAAAUAUAUAAAUAAAGGGGAGAAGAACCAGGCAAGAAACAAGAAUUCUGAAAGGGAAAGCAAGGUGUCUUCUAACAACAGUUUAGGGUCUAAUUGCCCCAUCCUUUCCAGAUAGAUCUCAGAUGCACAAAGUUCAGGAGCACAUGCGUUCCUCUGGGGGGAGCAAUGCUCUCCUCCUCCUCAUGCCCUGUUGGAGCUCCUCUCCUUUCCUUUUCAUGAAUCACAAGCAUGCCUGCCACUUCCAGGUCUUUUUUUUGUUUGUUUUAUUGUUUUUUGUUUUUCGAGACAGGGUUUCUCUGUGGCUUUGGAGCCUGUCCUGAAACUAGCUCUUGUAGGCCAGGCUGGUCUCGAACUCACAGAGAUCCGCCUGCCUCUGUCUCCCGAGUGCUGGGAUUAAAGGCGUGCGCCACCAAUGCCCGGCUCACUUCCAGGUCUUUAUUGAGCCUUUACAAUUCUGGGUCUUCAAUUUUAAACUUCAUGAAAACUAGGAAAUACUAACCUUGAGGUUAAGUGCUGUCAUCGUUAUUCCUCACCUUUGGCAUUCACUGACUCACUGUUUAAUGUGCAGCACAAAUGAGCAAAUCCCCCUGGGGGAGGCCACAUGUCCAGUUACUUCUCUGGCCGAUGUGGAAUGUUCUCCAGUGUCCACAGGCUUUUCCAAAGCCCCUUCCUGAGGCUGACAACCUUUUGGAGGCUUUCCUCAAUUUAUCAGGAAACAAUGUUGAAUCACCAGAAUUCAUCAGGGUUGAGGGGAGACCUGUUGCCAUGCUGUCUAAAUCUACCUGGCUCUCGCUCGCCCUUUUUGUGUUUGAAUCCAUCCUGCCGUUCCUCACCGCCAUGCCUCUGUGUAGCCAGCCAUCAACCCAUCUUCAGAGUGAGCAUGCCCUCUAUAGGCUUCCCCUGACCCAGACCCCCAGUGAGACUGGAUGCCCACACUUGGCCUCCCUGCUCUGGAGCACACUUCCAGUUAUCACAAUCUACAUUUCAGCUGAAUUGUGUGGAACAAACGCUUGAUUCAGAGGAAUGCCACUGCAGGUCUCUGCUUGACCAAAAAGGGAGAAAGAGAGUCACAUUUCAAACAGGGUCGGCCGGUCCCCUUGAGCACACACACCCCACCCUAGGAGGGCAAGAUGGGAGUUCUGAAUGUAUCUUAACCCUGUGUUGUUUUGUAUCGGCAUCCCCUGACCUCUCUGGAAGUGAUACUGGUGUUUAAAGGUCUGUGUUUCACGAGGAAGGAAAUGUCCCAGAUACAGCAAGGCAUUGGGAUGCUGGGGACAAAAAACAAAACCAAAGCAAGCAAGCAAAACAUAAGAAGGAAAAGAAAGCAAAGCCAAGUAUAGUCACUCACAAAUCUACCUAUUUCUAAAGCUGUAGGAAUGGGGUUUAGGUCCUUCUACUAUAACCAACACAGAUGAUCUAGUUAAGUAGCUAACUUGUCCAGACUUUAGAUCACACACUGCGUCUGCCCAUCUUACCCUGAGGCUUAAUGAAUAAUCAGUACAAGGUGGGCUAUGAGUAGCGCUUUGCAUUACCCCAGCUUACACAGCUUACACAGGCCCUCUUUCUCUGUACCAAUGGAUUCCAUCCUCAGAAGACAUUGAGGUGACAGGGUGAGGAGGGCUUCCAGAAGACCAGCCUAUUCAGAGCUCCGGCUGCAGGUCACUCAGCCCGGCCCAAGCCUAUAGCAACCUCACUGUCUUGGAGGCUCAAGCAGGAGAGGGAAGUAGGAAGGGAACGCGAGGGAGGGGAGCGAGAGGAGGAGUGGAGAGGGAAGAGGGAGACAGGCAGCGGUGGGAGAGUGGGGGACAGAGAAACACUGCGGUACAAGCCCCUACCGGCAUUUAGUUAUGGAUCCCUGGGUGCGUCUUCGAGUUCGCAUGCCAUUCUCGCCGCCGCCUUGGUCUCUGCACUCUGUCAUCCGCGCGGGGACUCGGCUGGGCCGGGUUCAUGACUGGACGCUCGAUGGACACCUCAGUUGUGGAGCAGGGGCCCGGCUCCUGCGCUCUCCGCCAGGCCUGUGACUGACUGCUGAUGCGGUAGCUCCAUCCUUGGCUGCAUCCGUGGCCCGGGGAAAGCGGACUGAGCUUCUGCAAACAGCAGCAUCUGCAGGCGUGGUGAUGCGGCCGGCCGGGGUCAGGGCUCUGUAAACGUCGGGCCCACCCGGAGCGGUCGGGGAUGCCCGGGCGCUCGGGACCGCUGGAACUCCGCUGGAGCCGCCAGGGACCAAGCCUGCGCGCUCGGCACCGCACCUCCGGCUCAGAACCAACGGGACGAGUCGCCCCUAGCAACAGCAGCCGGCACUCGCUCCCGCCGCGCUGAUUGGCG